GCUACAUUGAAAAAAAAAAAUAGAAUGGAAAAAACAGAAGGAACUAUGCCAGAUUUGGAAUCAGUGAAGAAGUAUUUGGAGAAAAGACUAGCAUCAACGGUAGAUGAUGAAUUUCCUCCAAAGUUUUUGCAACAUCUAAUCUUGCGCGCCCUGCGAUUGGAUCUCAUUGAACCUGGUCGUGUCGUCUUCUCAAUGAACAUACCCCCACGUUUACUCAAUUCAGGUAAGUACUUGCACGGUGGUGCUAUCACUACUCUGGUGGAUAUCGCAGGCGGAACCGCAAUUCCCGCAGCUGGAUUUCCGUGGAAAUCCGGAGUUUCCGUAGAGAUCAAUAUAUCAUGCUUGGAUGCUGCCUAUGUCAAUGAGGAGAUUGAGAUUGAUACCAGGGUUCUAAGACUAGGAAAGGCUGUAGCUGUUCUAAGCGUGGAGUUGAGGAAGAAAAAAACUGGCCAAGUUUUUGCUCAAGGGCGUCAUACAAAAUUUCUUCCCCUAAAAUAUCUUCCCCUUAAGAGUAAAAUGUGAAUAUGUACAAGUAAUUGUGAAGGAAGCAAAGCUGACAGAUGGAAGUAGAAGUUUGAUGAUGUUUACUCGAUGUCAUCAUAAAACUGAAAAAGGGGACACCGCGACGGUGAGAAAGACGGUGAGUCAGCGACGGUGAGUCUGAUGCAUAUAACAACCAGAUUUUGAGAACAUGAGGAUAUCCAGGAGAUGCGAGAGAACUUGGCAUUGUUUCAAUGUUUUGUUACUUCUCAGAUAAUGUUUGAUCUCAAGAGUUGAAUCUUUCUUACCAGAUGUCGGGAAUUGAGAAUUGGACAAAUUAAAACUGUGCAGAUCCGGAUUGAGGGAGAUGAGUUGUAGAAAAUGGAUAGUUGGAUCUAGUGUGAGACACACAUGAUAAGAUGUAAUAUACUCUAAAAUUUGAUGGUUGAUUUGCAAUGGUCCAUGGUGGAAAAGGAUUGACAUUUUCCAUGUUAAACUCCACCUGAUUUCUAUCUUGUAAACUCUUUGUAAUCAUUGUAUGUUCUUGACAUGCCUUGUGCUAUGAAAGCUUUUAUAAUUUAUCUUA